rnacentral:rRNA from 1 species
UACGUAGGGUGCGAGCGUUAAUCGGAAUUACUGGGCGUAAAGAGUGCGUAGGCGGUUCUUGAAGUCCGCUGUGAAAGCCCCGGGCUUAACCUGGGAAUGGCAGUGGAAACUGGAGGACUUGAAUUGAGCAGAGGGGGGUGGAAUGCCGCGUGUAGCAGUGAAUGCGUAGAGAUGCGGCGGAACACCGAUGGCGAAGGCAAUCCCUGGGCCUGCACUGACGCUCAUGCACGAAAGCGUGGGGAGCAAACAGGAUUGAGAA